GGAAGCCAAAUUUGGCCGGUGUCAGGCCUGGUCUUCAAAACCAGUGAACGGUACUCGUAUCGUUGGUGGGUUCGACUCCCACUGGCUUCCGCCA
rnacentral:tRNA from 1 species